rnacentral:rRNA from 1 species
UACGUAGGGGGCAAGCGUUGUCCGGAAUCAUUGGGCGUAAAGAGCGUGUAGGCGGUCCGGUAAGUCGGCUGUGAAAGUCCAGGGCUCAACCCUGGGAUGCCGGUCGAUACUGCCGGACUAGAGUUCGGAAGAGGCGAGUGGAAUUCCCGGUGUAGCGGUGAAAUGCGCAGAUAUCAGGAGGAACACCAAUGGCGAAGGCAGCUCGCUGGGACGUGACCGACGCUGAGACGCGAAAGCGUGGGGAGCAAACAGG